rnacentral:rRNA from 1 species
UAGUCCGUACGAGCGCACCCUUGUCCCUAGUUGCCAGCACUUCGGGUGGGAACUCUAGGGAGACUGCCGGUGAUAAACCGGAGGAAGGUGGGGAUGACGUCAAGUCAUCAUGGCCCUUAUGGGGAGGGCUACACACGUGCUACAAUGGCCGGUACAGAGGGCGGCGAAGCCGCGAGGUGGAGCGAAUCUCAGAAAACCGGUCGUAGUCCGGAUUGCAGUCUGCAACUCGACUGCAUGAAGCCGGAAUCGCUAGUAAUCGCGGAUCAGAACGCCGCGGUGAAUACGUUCCCGGGCCUUGUACACACCGCCCGUCACACCAUGGGAGUGGGCUGUACCAGAAGUAGGUAGUCUAACCUUCGGGAGGACGCUUACCACGGUGUGGUUCAUGACUGGGGUGAAGUCGUAACAAGGUAGCCCUAGGGGAACCUGGGGCUGGAUCACCUCCUUU